rnacentral:tRNA from 1 species
GGUAAGAUGGCCGAGUGUUUAGGCGGUGGGCUGUAGUCCCACAAACAGAGGUUCAAUCCCUUUUUUUACCA